UACGUAGGGUGCAAGGCGUUGUCCGGAAUUAUUGGGCGUAAAGAGCUCGUAGGCGGUUUGUCGCGUCUGCUGUGAAAACCCGAGGCUCAACCUCGGGCCUGCAGUGGGUACGGGACAGACUAGAGUGCGGUAGGGGAGAUUGGAAUUCCUGGUGUAGCGGUGGAAUGCGCAGAAUAUCAGGAGGAACACCAAUGGGCGAAGGCAGAUCUCUGGGCCGUAACUGACGCUGAGGAGCGAAAGCAUGGGGAGCGAAACAGG
rnacentral:rRNA from 1 species